GUAGGUGAACCUGCGGAAGGAUCAUUACCGAAGCGGGGAUGCCUUGAUAUUGGCUCCUUCGUUUAGCAGCCGACGGCUGUUGCAUGUAAAGUCGAGCCGAGUCUCGCACGUCUUGACCCGUAUGCUGGUGCGUUUGGCUUCGUAAUUGGAGCUGCCAGUGGGUUGGACGUUCUUAAAAAACAUAUUGGCGUGGUCGAUUGCAAAUUCUCACUGGUGGCGGAGCGUGUCUGCCGGUGGGGUGUGCAUAAGC
rnacentral:misc_RNA from 1 species